rnacentral:tRNA from 1 species
GGAGGGGUGCCCGAGCGGCCAAAGGGAGCAGACUGUAAAUCUGCCGGCAGACGCCUUCGAAGGUUCGAAUCCUUCCCCCUCCA